UUUUUCUUUUUAUGUGCCCUGUUAAGCCUUGGAAAACAAAGAUAAAAUCUGAGCUUCCUGCAAGUUUUACCUACUCAGCCACUUACUUUCCAGGAUCCUUCAUCAUGAAAGCAAUUGUAUGGGGUAAGAGAUUGGAGUUAGUGCAGGAAACAAGAAAAGAUAAAACUAGAGCCUCACCAAGGGAACAGCCCCAGACCAGGUAUAUUGGGGGCAAGAGGAAGGCGUUAAAGAUGAAAUGGAGUUUAAAGACAAACAAGUUUUAGGUGCACAGUGACCAUGCAAUGCUCCAAAGCCAGGUAUACAAGAUGCAUGGCAGUGGUGGUUGGAGAAAAUUGCCAUGGGAUUGGCACAUGGAUUGGCACUGAGCACAGGGAUAUGAAACUUCAUGCUCAUGAUUGCAAUUCAGGAAGCCAAAGGGCAAAGGAAGUAUUGUAUGGGGUUUGUGAUCUAAGUAUUAAGAAACCAAAAUGCAAAUACUAAUAAACAUGGAACCAAAAAGACUUUAUGUAUGGAGCAGUGCAAAGCUGGUACAAGAGCUGUGAAUCCUCAAGAAUGCAACCUCUACUGUGGGAGAAAUUGAGGCCCUACAAGGUUAGAUGACUUGCUCAGGAUCAACAAUUGUUAAAUGUCAGAGCAGGGAUUCAGAACCAGGACAUAUGACUCCAAGUCUAAUAUUCAUUCCACCAUGUAUCACCGUGGCCUUUUCCUGUCUUGAGCCUACAUUAGAAUUGAAGUCUCAAACUAAAGGGCACUCACCAUUUUGCUGGCAUAACUGAGCAGCUGAAUGUCACUCUUGAGGCUUUCAGUCUUGCAUCUUUAUAGUUGUUUCACAAUUGCCUGGUCUUUACAUCUCCUAAAUGCCUUUCAUAUAUAUAAUAAAUGUCAGAGACAGUGGUUGGUCAUUUUCAUUUGACUUCUUAAUGAUUUGAUGAAGAAUGUACAAGUGGCCUGUGUAUACUCGCUUCAGAGGUCAGCUUGAAGCAGCAAGUCACUGUAAAGACUGAAGUUCCAGGAUACUCCCUCUACUCUUGGCACUCUAUCUCUGAGGACUUCAUAUCACGCCCUGCCACAGGCUCCUCCUCUUGCUUAGAACUGUUCAGGGCAGAGGAGUGGUGUGCUAACUCCUUUCAGCCAGUUCUUUGAUGGCAAGUCCUCCUUCAUUUCAGCAGUUUCUGCCCCAAAUGUCAAGGAUGACAGGUUUAAAUCUUGAUGGAAAAAAGAAAAAAAGAGUUGGAGCUAAGUUGAAACAGGGAAGAAUAAAAUACCAAGAUCUUAGAACUUUAUUUGAGAUGCAUGAAGGGCUAGGUUUGGCUGUACUCUGGCAUGGUUAAGACUUGGAGAAAUCUAGAGAUGACUUUGGCACAUAUGAAAUUUCCCUUCAGAUAAGAAUGUUUUUUAAAGUAUUGAAAGAAUGAUGGCUGCUGGGGCCAUGGAAAAAGAGAUUGACUGGGGAAGGCACAUUACAGAGGCUUCUAGAAUGACAGCAAUGUUCUGUAUCUUGAUAGAGGUUGCGAUAAAGCCUAGGUAUUUGUUAAAACUCAACUAAUGCACAACUAAGAUUUCCACAUUUCUUUGUAAAUUUUACAAAAAAAAAAAAUCCUGAAAAAUACUGAACUGUAAUGAAUAGGCAUGUUGCAACGUUUAGGGAAAAUUGUACGAUGUCUGCAAUUGACUAAAAAUAUAUUAAAAAUGCAUUAAUGGCUGGCUGGGCACGGUGACUCAUGCCUGUAAUCCUAGCACUUUGGGAGGCUGAGGCCAGAGGAUCACUUGAGCCCAGGAGUUCAAGGCCAGCCUGGGGCAACAUGAUGAAACCCCUUCUUUACCAAAAAUACAAAAAUUAACCGGGCAUGGUGGCUCCCCUCUGUAGUCCCAGCUAUUCAGGAGCCUGAGGUGGGAGAAUCGCCUCAAUCUUGGAGGCAGAGGUUGCAGUGAGCUGAGAUUGCACCAUUGCAAUCCAGCCUGAGUAAAAGAAACUCUGUCUCAAAAAAAUAAUAAUUAAAAAUGUAUUAAUAGGAUGCACAGAUAUGUGAUAGUGGCAAAAUCUAGGUGGUGAGUAUAAAUUCUUUCAACAUGCCUAUAUGUUUAAAAUUUUUAAUAAAAUGUUGGGAAGUUAUCCAAUACUAUAGUUAUCAGAAGCCAAUAAAUUACUCCGCAACUCUGGGUGCACAGCAAUUCCAAGGGCUGUCACCGGGAACAGAGAAUUCCUUCCAAUGUGCCCUCUGCCUGGCCCUAAGCAAGCCACUAACCUCCUUUCUGACACAAACCUGGACCCACAAGUUCUCUGUACUUUCAUCAUCUUGUCCUGCUGGGCAGAGGUGAAUGGAAAAACACCAGUGUACUCAGCUAGUGGGCAGAUCUUUGUAAUGAAGACCCAACCCUACAUGCUGUCACGGUAAACCGUCAGCAUAAGUGCUUGUCUGUGCCCAGACAAGACAGGAAAAACUUGGUUUGACUGUUUAAAAAAGAACAUAAUUGUAAUAAUUCACAUAAAUUGCUUAAUAUUUCAGAUUUUAAAUUAUAGAAGAUUGUUUUCUAAUAAUGGCAUGGAGAAAUGAACAGUAUUUUAACUUAUUUCCAAUGCUGAUGGAGAAAGGGCUUAACAUUUGUUGACCCUUAGAUAUGGAGCAGAUGUUUUGCAUACAUUAGCUCACAUAGUCCUCCUAACACUAUGAGUACAUAGCCCCACUAUCAUUUUAUAACGAGGUUCAUGGUCCUGGAGCCAGUAAAU
rnacentral:lncRNA from 1 species